ACAUUUUUUUUGUCAUUUGGGUAGCCGAAAUGAUGGCGAAAUCCUUGUGUAGGUGCGUGGUCGAAUGGACUUGCUGCUGUCACUUGGAUUUUUGCCGGCUCUCACGGAUGCAGUGCCUAGUGCUAGCUCUGUGUGACUUUGCCACGCAGACUUCGGGAGGUCCCCUGUACGAAUCAUUGCGAUGUGGACGCCGUUUGUCGUGUUGCUUGUUUGGCAUGCAAAUCGUAUUGUUCUGUCUGGAGUCGGGAUGACGAAGGGCAAGAAUGAAGUGCCCGAAGCGUGGUUGCGUACAUGCGGAAUGCCUCUCUGAUCGUAUGAGCAGCGAUUUCCGGCUCGCGUCC
rnacentral:misc_RNA from 1 species